rnacentral:rRNA from 1 species
GACGAACGCUGGCGGGGUGCCUAAUACAUGCAAGUAGGGCGGAGUUGCGAACGGGUGAGUAACGCGUAGGUAACUACCUAUUAGAGGGGGAUAACUAUUGGAAACGAUAGCUAAUACCGCAUACUAGUAGAUGGACCUGCGUUGUAUUAGCUAGUAGGUAGGGUAAUGGCCUACCUAGGCAACGAUACAUAGCCGACAUGAGAGGGUGAUCGGCCAAAAGGGGACUGAGACACGGCCCAGACUGCUACGGGAGGCAGCAGUAGGGAAGCUUCGGAAAUGGGGGGAACCCUGACCGAGCAACGCCGCGUGAGUGAAGAAGGUUUUCGGAGCGUAAAGCUCUGUUGUUAAGGAAGCGGUAGUUAACCAGAACGGCACGGCUAACUACGUGCCAGCAGCCGCGGUAAUUC